CUUUGUCUAAUAUGAGAUGACACAAACACACAGAGACAGUGUUGUGGCAAAGCUACCAGGAAACUAUCAAUCAUGGGAACAUUGCUCAGAUUUGAACAUCUGACCAUGCUGGUGAUAUUGCAGAGAGAAGGGAGUAUCUGAGGAGAAUUGUUGUGGUCACAUCAAUGUUAGGAAGUCAGGGACUCUCUUUCCGUGCCAAUGAUGAAUCUAGUGAAAGCACAAAGAGAGGGAACUCUCAAUAGUAAAACUAAAAUAAAACUCAAACCACUUACUAGAUCCAUCAUGUUGAACUGAGAACCAAGAACUGGUGGUCCUUCUGUAGCACAGUUGGUAGAGCAUGGCGCUUGUAAUGCCAGGGUAGUGGGUUCGAUUCCCGGGACCACCCAUACGUAGAAUGUAUGCACACAUGACUGUAAGUCGCUUUGGAUAAAAGCGUCUGCUAAAUGGCAUAUAUUAUAUUAUUAUAUUAUUAUUAUAUUAUAUAUAUUAUAUAUUAUAACUACGGUAUUGAUGUCAAAACAGAAGAGAUGUUGGUGGACAGAAACUUUCUUUCCCGGAAAAGAGAGGCUGGUGUUCUGUACCUGUCUGUCCAGGAGGGAGGAGAGUAGAGCAGGACCAAGAGGUGUUCUGUACCUGUCUGUCCAGGAGGGAGGAGAGUAGAGCAGGACCAAGAGGUGUUCUGUACCUGUCUGUCCAGGAGGGAGGAGAGUAGAGGAGGACCAAGAGGUGUUCUGUACCUGUCUGUCCAGGAGGGAGGAGAGUAGAGCAGGACCAAGAGGUGUUCUGUACCUGUCUGUCCAGGAGGGAGGAGAGUAGAGGAGGACCAAGAGGUGUUCUGUACCUGUCUGUCCAGGAGGGAGGAGAGUAGAGGAGGACCAAGAGGUGUUCUGUACCUGUCUGUCCAGGAGGGAGGAGAGUAGAGGAGGACCAAGAGGUGUUCUGUACCUGUCUGUCCAGGAGGGAGGAGAGUAGAGGAGGACCAAGAGGUGUUCUGUACCUGUCUGUCCAGGAGGGAGGAGAGUAGAGCAGGACCAAGAGGUGUUCUGUACCUGUCUGUCCAGGAGGGAGGAGAGUAGAGCAGGACCAAGAGGUGUUCUGUACCUGUCUGUCCAGGAGGGAGGAGAGUAGAGGAGGACCAAGAGGUGUUCUGUACCUGUCUGUCCAGGAGGGAGGAGAGUAGAGCAGGACCAAGAGGUGUUCUGUACCUGUCUGUCCAGGAGGGAGGAGAGUAGAGCAGGACCAAGAGGUGUUCUGUACCUGUCUGUCCAGGAGGGAGGAGAGUAGAGCAGGACCAAGAGGUGUUCUGUACCUGUCUGUCCAGGAGGGAGGAGAGUAGAGCAGGACCAAGAGGUGUUCUGUACCUGUCUGUCCAGGAGGGAGGAGAGUAGAGCAGGACCAAGAGGUGUUCUGUACCUGUCUGUCCAGGAGGGAGGAGAGUAGAGCAGGACCAAGAGGUGUUCUGUACCUGUCUGUCCAGGAGGGAGGAGAGUAGAGCAGGACCAAGAGGUGUUCUGUACCUGUCUGUCCAGGAGGGAGGAGAGUAGAGCAGGACCAAGAGGUGUUCUGUACCUGUCUGUCCAGGAGGGAGGAGAGUAGAGCAGGACCAAGAGGUGUUCUGUACCUGUCUGUCCAGGAGGGAGGAGAGUAGAGCAGGACCAAGAGGUGUUCUGUACCUGUCUGUCCAGGAGGGAGGAGAGUAGAGCAGGACCAAGAGGUGUUCUGUACCUGUCUGUCCAGGAGGGAGGAGAGUAGAGCAGGACCAAGAGGUGUUCUGUACCUGUCUGUCCAGGAGGGAGGAGAGUAGAGGAGGACCAAGAGGUGUUCUGUACCUGUCUGUCCAGGAGGGAGGAGAGUAGAGGAGGACCAAGAGGUGUUCUGUACCUGUCUGUCCAGGAGGGAGGAGAGUAGAGCAGGACCAAGAGGUGUUCUGUACCUGUCUGUCCAGGAGGGAGGAGAGUAGAGCAGGACCAAGAGGUGUUCUGUACCUGUCUGUCCAGGAGGGAGGAGAGUAGAGGAGGACCAAGAGGUGUUCUGUACCUGUCUGUCCAGGAGGGAGGAGAGUAGAGGAGGACCAAGAGGUGUUCUGUACCUGUCUGUCCAGGAGGGAGGAGAGUAGAGCAGGACCAAGAGGUGUUCUGUACCUGUCUGUCCAGGAGGGAGGAGAGUAGAGCAGGACCAAGAGGUGUUCUGUACCUGUCUGUCCAGGAGGGAGGAGAGUAGAGGAGGACCAAGAGGUGUUCUGUACCUGUCUGUCCAGGAGGGAGGAGAGUAGAGGAGGACCAAGAGGUGUUCUGUACCUGUCUGUCCAGGAGGGAGGAGAGUAGAGCAGGACCAAGAGGUGUUCUGUACCUGUCUGUCCAGGAGGGAGGAGAGUAGAGCAGGACCAAGAGGUGUUCUGUACCUGUCUGUCCAGGAGGGAGGAGAGUAGAGCAGGACCAAGAGGUGUUCUGUACCUGUCUGUCCAGGAGGGAGGAGAGUAGAGCAGGACCAAGAGGUGUUCUGUACCUGUCUGUCCAGGAGGGAGGAGAGUAGAGGAGGACCAAGAGGUGUUCUGUACCUGUCUGUCCAGGAGGGAGGAGAGUAGAGCAGGACCAAGAGGUGUUCUGUACCUGUCUGUCCAGGAGGGAGGAGAGUAGAGGAGGACCAAGAGGUGUUCUGUACCUGUCUGUCCAGGAGGGUCUGUCCAGGAGGGAGGAGAGUAGAGCAGGACCAAGAGGUGUUCUGUACCUGUCUGUCCAGGAGGGAGGAGAGUAGAGGAGGACCAAGAGGUGUUCUGUACCUGUCUGUCCAGGAGGGAGGAGAGUAGAGGAGGACCAAGAGGUGUUCUGUACCUGUCUGUCCAGGAGGGAGGAGAGUAGAGGAGGACCAAGAGGUGUUCUGUACCUGUCUGUCCAGGAGGGAGGAGAGUAGAGCAGGACCAAGAGGUGUUCUGUACCUGUCUGUCCAGGAGGGAGGAGAGUAGAGCAGGACCAAGAGGUGUUCUGUACCUGUCUGUCCAGGAGGGAGGAGAGUAGAGCAGGACCAAGAGGUGUUCUGUACCUGUCUGUCCAGGAGGGAGGAGAGUAGAGGAGGACCAAGAGGUGUUCUGUACCUGUCUGUCCAGGAGGGAGGAGAGUAGAGGAGGACCAAGAGGUGUUCUGUACCUGUCUGUCCAGGAGGGAGGAGAGUAGAGCAGGACCAAGAGGUGUUCUGUACCUGUCUGUCCAGGAGGGAGGAGAGUAGAGCAGGACCAAGAGGUGUUCUGUACCUGUCUGUCCAGGAGGGAGGAGAGUAGAGCAGGAC